UAAACAGAAAUCACAUGUUCUGGUUUCCAACCAAUCACGAGACGAGGUUAUAACUACCAGGUGCAGCCGCGCUUUGAGAGUUGAUGAUGGAAGAAACUCCGCGCCGGAUUAAUUAGUGCUUUAAAACUGAAGAUCCUCGACAGGUUCAUGCCCUGUGCUUCCAUAAAACUGAGCAGACACAACUUCUUCCUCUUUCAAUUAUAAUAAUAAUAUAACCAUGUUUAAUUCAGAUUCCUCGUUCCACCUGAAGCCUCUGUCCGUGUACUCUCACAUGGUGUGCAGCAGGCAUGAGAAAAGCCCUCUGUAUAAUAUCAAAGUUCAUAUCACCAAUAAUGAGUCGAGAGGACAGAAGAGGCGGCUGGACUCGUGUGUGGACGAGAUCUGCGAGACCCCCCGGAAAAAACCCUGCAUCACCAGAUCAUGUUCGCAGGACCUUGGAUAUUACUCCUCGGACUUCCCGUCCGGAGUUCAGGGAUCCACACCUCUGCAGCCAUUACUAAUAUCAAAAGACGUCACACCGCCUCGGUCAAAGGUCAAUCAAUCGCUGACCCCGGCCGUGUCCACCCCUCUGUACAAAAGUACACCGCUCCGGAUGGAUCGAGACCGGGAGAGUCUUCCCUCCCCGAUCCCGGUUCUGAAAUGGGACAGAGAGGUUUCGUCUGCGGAGAUAAAGUGUGGGUCCCUGAACGUCGACGCUUGUGUUCCUUCAGUCGGCUCUCCGGGAGCUGGGAAGGGUGAGGUCAGGGGCGUCUCGCACAAUCUCAUCCCAAUACACGAAUCAAAGUCUCAGAGCGCCCCCCCGGAACCAGCUGUCCCGUUGGAAGAGGAAGGAGUUGUGUCGGUCAGUCAGCAGGCAGAACCUGAAGUGACCGACAGACACGGAGAGAGCACCGGCGAGAGUUUCGAGAGCACGCUGCCUCUUCAGGUCCAGGUGAAAUCUAAAGUGGUGUUUCCAGACAACACGAAGACGGUCUGCAAACCGGCGGUGUCGUGUAGUGAAGAGGAGUGGGAGAGGAACAAGAGGACGUACGUGGACUCGGUGACGAGACACAUGAAGGAGCAGAGCGGAGCAGCAAACGGUGUGAUCACUGAGCUCCAUUCUCUGAUGAACUCCGUCGCCAAUCAGAAAACUGGAAGGAACGACCCACACUGGCAACACCCUUCAGAUCUCACGCGCAGGAAUUUCCGUCAGUCGCGUCUCAAAGGUCCAUCAGCGUCCCUCGACGAGUGGCAGAAACGAAACCUUCCUGCCUACCGGCGCUUUGUUAACGUGCCGGACAUUUUCCACAGAAGCCCAGUGCUGUGAUUUAUUUAUUUGUUUGAUUUUAUUGUUAUAUAUUUGUUGUGGUUUCAUAUCUUUGCUCUUUGUCAUUGUUAUGAAGACAUGAAACUCGAUCACAUUCAACAUUGUACAUCACGCUGAAAGCACUACGGUUCAGAAUCCUUUGACACGACGACCUGGUGUCCAUUUUAAACAUCUGGUAAAAGUGCAAUUAAUACUUUGAGUUACAAAAACACUGUAACUUUAAACGACUGACACAAAUCUGUCACCACUGGUGACUAUAAAUAUCUAAAUGCUUCUGACAGUCAUUUGAGCGUUUAAAUUUAAUGUGAUUUAUGGUAAAGUUUUUCAUAACCAGCAAUGACCUCUGGUUUGAUAUCAAACAUUUACUGAAUGUUCAUUUUUAAAAAUUCAAGUAGUCAUGCACACUAUUAAAGGCACAGGAAGUUAUACAAAUGAGUUAUAUUGCUCAUUUUUUAUAGUGUUCUUUGUUGUGUUUGUUGGUUUGUAUUUAGUUUCAUAAAUAAAAAUAACGGUAUUCUAAAACAAGAAAAAAUGGAAAUAUAUUUCAAUUGUUCCCAUUUGUUUUCAGUCUCCCUUUAUAAACGAUGAAAAUCUAGAUGCCAUUAAUACAGCAUUCAUUGGUAAAAAGGCGUGUUUUUUUCCAUUGACGGCUGUUCAAACGCAGCCAUGCUUUCUAUUAAAAUACAUAUUUUUAUAAAUCAUUUACAUUACACAACUACUGCUAGACAUGAUACAUUAUAGUAGUUUUGUCUAGAGACUGUUGUGAAACAAAAUCCAAAUAGCUUCUGAUAUGGAAAACACCAACAAUCAUUCCAAACACCCAAUUUACACACUGAAAAAUUUAGAAAUUCUUUUAAAAUGUUUUUAAAAAUUUCACACAAAACGUUGUUCACACACAAGUGAUGGAAUUAUUUGCUCAUUAAAGGCAGAUUUCCACGUCUCCAACAUCUGCUAUUGUUGUGCUUUCUACUCUGUGAAAAAAUCACUUCUCAAAGAUCUUUGAUUCCAGAAGUUUUAUCACUUUAUUGUACAACAAAAGAGACAGCUGCCCGCUCUCUGUUUUUG